rfam:Hortaea werneckii EXF-2000 unitig_295, whole genome shotgun sequence.
UUAUAAGAUGAUAUAAUUUGCGACUGAUGGUGCAGACCGGAGAUUCACGCCUGUUUCUCAUAACGGCUGCGCCAGUCUGAUCUUUACUUCUUACAUAUUCUGACU